rnacentral:rRNA from 1 species
CCCUUAGAUGUUCUGGGAUGCACGCGCGUUACACUGAUUCGUUCAACGAGUUUAUGACCUUGCCUGAUGAGGUGGGGGAAUCUUUUCAAAUCGCAUCGUGAUGGGGAUAGAGUAUUGUAACUGUUAGUCUUCAACGAGGAAUUCCUAGUAAGUACGUGUCAUCAGCUCGUACUGAUUAUGUCCCUGCCCUUUGUACACACCGCCCGUCGCUCCUACCGAUUGAGUGCUCAGGUGAAUAGUAUGGACUGCAUCAGUGUUCGGUCUCCGAAUGUUGGCGCGAGAAAUUCUGUGAAUCUUAUUGCUUAGAGGAAGGAGAAGUCGUANCA